CAACAUGUACUCUCUUCGGAUUUUUGAUGGCUUAUUUUUACUGCUAUACCUAUUAAGUACUGAUGCAAACAUGGUUGCCUAAUGUCAAAAAAUAGCGUUAAGUGGGAGCUAAAGCUUGCUUUUUCAUAGUUACAGUUACGAUCAGUGCAUAUUGUGCUAUUGCAAUAUUUACCCCUUAAUAUAUUUCAAGGUAAAUACGAGCGUAUGUUGUAUUAUCCGUAGCAGGUUAUUUUCACAAAGGUAUUGGGAGAGGGAGAUGCCCAGGAUUAAAGAAAAUAAAAAAAUCAUAACAGGCUGCAUGCAUAGGUUCAGCCAGAUGCUCAUUGAAUGGUUAUCAUACUCUUGAGACAUGGAGCAUAGCCGGAUGAUGAGACGACAUGUGGGUUACCUGGGAAGCAUAGAAACCAACAAAGAUGAUUUCACUAAGCGGACCUCGUUCCAUACUGGGAAAGGGAAGAGAAGUUCUUGUUCAUGCUGAUUCUGAUGAUCUAGGAAAGGGUAAGGAUGGUUCCAUCUAGGAAAAGUAUCAUUACGGAGAUGAAGUGAAGCUUUUAUGAAAAAAAUUGUUGUUGUGAUUUAUCUAAAUUGACAUGUGACUAUUGAUUUAUUCUUUCCUUGAAUCUCAUGCUCUUUUAUUCUAA